rnacentral:rRNA from 1 species
GAUGAACGCUGGCGGCGUGCCUAAUACAUGCAAGUCGAGCGAACAGACGAGGAGCUUGCUCCUCUGACGUUAGCGGCGGACGGGUGAGUAACACGUGGAUAACCUACCUAUAAGACUGGGAUAACUUCGGGAAACCGGAGCUAAUACCGGAUAAUAUAUUGAACCGCAUGGUUCAAUAGUGAAAGACGGUUUUGCUGUCACUUAUAGAUGGAUCCGCGCCGCAUUAGCUAGUUGGUAAGGUAACGGCUUACCAAGGCGACGAUGCGUAGCCGACCUGAGAGGGUGAUCGGCCACACUGAAACUGAGACACGGUCCAGACUCCUAAGGGAGGCAGCAGUAGGGAAUCUUCCGCAAUGGGCGAAAACCUGCCGGAGCAACGCCGCGUGAGUGAUGAAGGUGUUCGGAUCGUAAAACUCUGUUAUUAGGGAAGAACAAAUGUGUAAGUAACUAUGCACGUCUUGACGGUACCUAAUCAGAAAGCCACGGCUAACUACGUG